UUGUGGUUUAUCCAGAUGGGGGAAAAUCCUCAUAUCGGCCCUUGGGACUGGGAUAAAAUU
rnacentral:misc_RNA from 1 species